GAUGAACGCUGGCGGCGUGCCUAAUACAUGCCAGUCGAGCGAACAGACGAGGAGCUUGCUCCUUCGACGUUAGCGGCGGACGGGUGAGUAACACGUAGGUAACCUACCUAUAAGACUGGGAUAACUUCGGGAAACCGGAGCUAAUACCGGAUAAUAUUUCGAACCGCAUGGUUCGAUAGUGAAAGAUGGCUUUGCUAUCACUUAUAGAUGGACCUGCGCCGUAUUAGCUAGUUGGUAAGGUAACGGCUUACCAAGGCAACGAUACGUAGCCGACCUGAGAGGGUGAACGGCCACACUGGAACUGAGACACGGUCCAGACUCCUACGGGAGGCAGCAGUAGGGAAUCUUCCGCAAUGGGCGAAAGCCUGACGGAGCAACGCCGCGUGAGUGAUGAAGGUCUUCGGAUCGUAAAACUCUGUUAUUAGGGAAGAACAAACGUGUAAGUAACUGUGCACGUCUUGACGGUACCUAAUCAGAAAGCCACGGCUAACUACGUG
rnacentral:rRNA from 1 species